rnacentral:rRNA from 1 species
CCUUGUACACACCGCCCGUCACACCGUGGGAGUUGGUUUCACCCGAAGGCGCUACGCUAACCCGCAAGGGAGGCAGGCGACCACGGUGGGAUCAGCGACUGGGGUG